rnacentral:lncRNA from 1 species
UCCAUGACCUGCCAUCUAGUCGAAACUCACGAUAGAGGAACAAAAUCAUACGUUAACUACACCUAGAAGUUUAUUUCAGUUCUAUUGGGUUGUCACUACAUACUACUAGAUAUCACUGAUGGAUUGUGAGAGCUUAUUAGGAUUGUUCUGAUCGAUAAUCCUUGAUGAGUUAGAAUAAAAUUAUUCCAAUCCAUUGAAAAGAGUUUCAAUGAUACUUUGAUAGAGAUCAUUGUAUAUCUCACUACC